rnacentral:rRNA from 1 species
GCCAGACUCCUACGGGAGGCAGCAGUGGGGAAUAUUGCACAAUGGGGGAAACCCUGAUGCAGCGACGCCGCGUGAGCGAUGAAGUAUUUCGGUAUGUAAAGCUCUAUCAGCAGGGAAGAAAAUGACGGUACCUGACUAAGAAGCCCCGGCUAACUACGUGCCAGCAGCCGCGGUAAUACGUAGGGGGCAAGCGUUAUCCGGAUUUACUGGGGGGAAAGGGAGCGUAGACGGCGAUGCAAGCCAGAUGUGAAAGCCCGCGGCUCAACUGCGGUAGUGCAUUUGGAACUGUAUGGCUGGAGUGCAGGAGAGGCAGGCGGAAUUCCUAGUGUAGCGGUGAAAUGCGUAGAUAUUAGGAGGAACACCAGUGGCGAAGGCGGCCUGCUGGACUGUAACUGACGUUGAGGCUCGAAAGCGUGGGGAGCAAACAGGAUUAGAUACCCGCGUAAC